rnacentral:lncRNA from 1 species
CCAUGGAGGUGGUGGUUACUAUCCCUCCCCUCCAUCUCAUGGUGGAAGCCCUCCAAGUACUCCUAGUACCCCCAGUACACCAUCCACCCCCUCCACACCUACUAUUGUAACCCCACCUACACCUCCUACAAUAGACCCUGGCACUCCAAGUACUCCAGGGGGUGGUUACUAUGGUGGAAGUCCUCCAAGUAUUCCUACCCCUAGUAUUACACCCCCUACCCCUUCUACACCUAUCAUUGAAACACCACCAACUACUCCAGUCGUUGAAACACCACCAACUACUCCUACCAUUGAUCCAGGUACUCCAAGUGCUCCAGGGGUCUUUCCAAUUGACCCCAACUCACCACCUUUUACAUGCGAGUAAGUCAAAUGAAAAUUAUUCUUUGUUUCAUUUUAUAUGGCAGCAUUUGACUAGACAUACAAUUUAAGAAAGAGAAUUUUUUAACGUAUAUCUAAAGUACCUAAUGAGAACUUGUAAUCUUAAACAUAUCAUGACAUUUAUACAAUUAUACCAGCAUAUAUAUCAUUAACGGUGAAGGUGUGAUUCUGUUUAGAAAAGACUAGGAAAAGCGCAUCAUAUGAACGGAACAGAGGCAGUAUAAACUUUUGCACUUUUAACUACAAUAUGAGUGGCAUGUCCUAACAUGAAAUGUUAUGAACUGCAGCUACUGGAGGACUCACCCAACACUGAUAUGGGGCAUACUCGGCUGGUGGGGAAGUGUAGGCAAUGCAUUUGGUGUGGCUAGUGUUCCAGCUUUGGGAGCAAACAUGAACUUACUG